rnacentral:rRNA from 1 species
CCUACGGGUGGCAGCAGUGAGGAAUAUUGGUCAAUGGACGAGAGUCUGAACCAGCCAAGUAGCGUGAAGGAUGACUGCCCUAUGGGUUGUAAACUUCUUUUAUAAAGGAAUAAAACGAGGCACGUGUGCCUUUUUGCAUGUACUUUAUGAAUAAGGAUCGGCUAACUCCGUGCCAGCAGCCGCGGUAAUACGGAGGAUCCGAGCGUUAUCCGGAUUUAUUGGGUUUAAAUGGAGCGUAGAUGGGUUGUUAAGUCAGUUGUGAAAUUUUGCGGCUCAACCGUAAAAUUGCAAUGGAUACUGGCAGUCUUGAGUACAGUUGAGGUAAGCGGAAUUCGUGGUGUAGCGGUGAAAUGCUUAGAUAUCACGAAGAACCCCGAUUGCGAAGGCAGCUUACUAAACUGUGACUGACAUUGAUGCUCGAAAGUGUGGGUAUCAAACAGGAUUAGAUACCCGGGUAGUC